UAAAUGUUUCUGAAGCCUGAUGAAAUCGUUAUAAAUGUGUGUUUAAUACUGUAAAAUACCCUCGAUGUUACAGUCACUGACCUUGCCGUCCAGAAUGAAAGACAACAUUCCAACUUGAACCCAUUGAGGGAGCUGUCUCUUUACUAUCGCGUGGUUUUAUACAUCUUGCCGCUGAUUGGGCUGACAUUUCUGACACACCCACCAAACAAGAGAAAACGCUUCUAAAACCUGUUGGAUUCCGUUGCACACCGUUUCAAGGAAACAUGUCGUUCAACCCGGAAACCGUAGCAAAACGUUGCGCACCGGUGUGAGAUAGAACGUGCCCCUGCGCUUCGGGAUCUCGCAAAGCUUCGGAACGACUGUUUCGCGUCAGCCAUCCCUACUGUCACCUCCGUUGUACUGCUCCAAUACAGAUCCAGACCGGGCCGGGUAUUAUUGGGCGGGAACAACAAUCGCAAAGCAGAUUCGGGCCGUAUCCGUGGAAACGAGCGCGCGUCUGGAUUUUUGAAGAGGAUCGAGGUGGCCACAGUUUGAUCUCUCUUACAUCCCCACACGACUUUCCAAGGACUGACAACCGUAUUCUGCUGCUGUGUGAACGUGGCCAAAGUGACGUGCCAUUGACUUGAAUUAGAUGAGGACCACCCUUUCAGCUAAACAUCUUUACUGUUCUACCGAAGAUGCUCACAUCUUGAAUGGCAUGAGAGUUUUUCAACAGUAUAUUAAAAUUUGGGUGAACUUUCCCUUUAAAUUAAUAUUAAAAGCAUUGAUAUACCUGUUUUUUUCCUAAACUAAUUUAAGUUACAGAAGAAGUCUGUAAAAAAAGGAGAAGUUUAUUGCACUUUUUUUUCUCAACAGGAUCUGUAAGGAGCAAACAGUCCUCUGGGCUACUGGUGCAGCGAAUUCUUGGAUUCUUACACCAACCGUUGGUUUCAUCUUGCCUUUGACCAUGGUGGUGGCUGGAAAGAGCGUGCGGAUACCAAAGAGGCAUUAAAUAAGAUGUCUCAUGGAAGUUAAAAGGCAUGUAUAGAGUGGUUUGAAGUUCCUACCGUUCCUGUUUGGUUCUUCAUGUGUGUUAUGGGCCGUUUCUCAAUGUCAAGGAAGGAUCCUUGGAAGCCAGAAUUUCGAGGAUGCUACGUCAUCGAAGUCCAUCAAAAGACUGUUCCAAUGUCAAGGAUCCUCAGAAUUUCAACAAGGACUGAGUCCUUCAUUCGAGAAAUAUCCCAUAUACAGGAAAGGAUGCAUAUGUGUAUCCUUCGCGUGCUGAAAUCACCCACAAUCCUAUGUGUGCAGCACCGAAAGCACACCUUUCAUUGACGCAAUAAAGUGCACUUGUUAGCCUGUUCCAUUUAACGUGUUCUCUGAAUGCUUAAGAGGAGCCUCGCCUAGCCUCUGAAAGAAGUGACUUGUAAGGACUAGUCUUGCCAAGGAAGUAUCUUUGAUUUUGAGAAAUGGCCAUGGAUUCACCAGGCUCCUCACUCACUCUUCCUCAAAGAUCUGCGCCACAUGACUUUUAAUCACCGUCACCUGUUCCUAGUCACCUGAUCAUGCUAUAUAAGGACUUUCUUAUUCAUUUGUUCAUUCAUUCAUUUUAAACGUACCUCUUCUCUGAGUUAUUAUACUGCCUGAAUGCUCUUCCUUGUUAUUUGAAUUACUAUCAUUGUCAUUUUGCAUUGUCUUCAUCAUCAUCAUCGCCGUUGUCGUCGUCUAUCUACUGUUGUCUUCAUUAAUAAAAGUGUUAAUCAUUUAUCUGUUACUCUCUAGUAGUGUUACCAUUACCAUUCAUCAUAUGGACUUGCGUUGUUAAUAUAAACCCUGUUGGUUUUACUUCCAUGUCCUCACCCUCUAGCUACCAUUACAAUGUGUUUCCCGUUCAUAAUAUUAACUUUUUUGGGUUUGAUUUAUUCCUUUCUUUGCAGCUUUUCUUGGCCUCUUUUCUGUUCCAAACAACAUAUUUUGUGAAAUAAAUUCAAAAGGUUUAUUUUUGCUUUGAGUUGUUUAUAGGAACUUUGAUAUGUGUUCAGAACUAAAGAAAAGAUGCACAGUGGUACUGUUUUUGCAUUGUUAUGCGUAUUUUUUUUAAUAUGAUAAAUAAAUAGAAAUGUAUUAAGGACUUGAA